rnacentral:tRNA from 1 species
GGCCUCAUCGUCUAGCGGUUAGGACAUCAGGUUUUCAGCCUGAUUACCUGGGUUCGAGUCCCAGUGAGGUCA